CCAGACUCCUACGGGAGGCAGCAGUGAGGAAUAUUGGUCAAUGGCCGAGAGGCUGAACCAGCCAAGUCGCGUGAGGGAAGACGGCCCUACGGGUUGUAAACCUCUUUUGUCGGGGAGCAAAGCGAACCACGUGUGGUUCAUUGAGAGUACCCGAAGAAAAAGCAUCGGCUAACUCCGUGCCAGCAGCCGCGGUAAUACGGAGGAUGCGAGCGUUAUCCGGAUUUAUUGGGUUUAAAGGGUGCGUAGGCGGGACCUUAAGUCAGCGGUAAAAUUGCGGUGCUCAACGCCGUAGAGCCGUUGAAACUGGGGUUCUUGAGUGAGCGAGAAGUAUGCGGAAUGCGUGGUGUAGCGGUGAAAUGCAUAGAUAUCACGCAGAACCCCGAUUGCGAAGGCAGCAUACCGGCGCUCAACUGACGCUGAGGCACGAAAGUGCGGGUAUCGAACAGGAUUAGAUACCCUGGUAAA
rnacentral:rRNA from 1 species